rnacentral:rRNA from 1 species
UACGGAGGAUGCGAGCGUUAUCCGGAUUUAUUGGGUUUAAAGGGUGCGUAGGCGGCCUUUUAAGUCAGCGGUGAAAGUCUGUGGCUCAACCAUAGAAUUGCCGUUGAAACUGGGGGGCUUGAGUAUGUUUGAGGCAGGCGGAAUGCGUGGUGUAGCGGUGAAAUGCAUAGAUAUCACGCAGAACCCCGAUUGCGAAGGCGGCUUACUGGACGAUGACUGACGCUGAGGCUCGAAAGCGUGGGGAGCAAACAGG